rnacentral:misc_RNA from 1 species
AGGAAGAUGCAGCUCUGCAAUUGCUAUCGACGCGCCAGCUCCUUUUACCAGUGUUUCUGGCAUCAGAUGGGGUUCAACUAUGGUCCAAGGUCCGCGUGAAGAGAUGGAAGAUGAUGCUGUUAUCGUUCAAUCGGAUGAUCUUGAUGGCUUCACUUAUGCUGCUGUUUUUGAUGGCCAUGCUGGCUUCUCCUCUGUCAAGUUCCUUAGGGAAGAGCUGUAUAAAGAAUGUGUUCUAGCAUUACAAGGAGGGCCGCUAUUGAACAGAAAGGACCUAAAUGCAAUCAGGAAGGCACUACAAGAAGCUUUUGAAAAUGCGGAUAGGGAACUCUUGAACCGGCUUGAGAGUAGCGAGAAGGAAGAUGAAUCUGGUGCGACAGCUACUGCUCUAUUUGUUGGGAAUGAUACAUUGAUCAUCGCACAUGUUGGAGAUUCAUCUGUGGUGUUGUCCCGAUCUGGAAAAACAGAGAUACUAACCAAUUCACACAGGCCGUAUGGAAACAACAAGGUUUCUCUCCAAGAAAUCAGAAGAAUAAAUGAAGCAGGUGGAUGGAUUGUCAAU